rnacentral:rRNA from 1 species
GACGAACGCUGGCGGCGUGCCUAAUACAUGCAAGUAGAACGCUGAAGAGAGGAGCUUGCUCUUCUUGGAUGAGUUGCGAACGGGUGAGUAACGCGUAGGUAACCUGCCUUGUAGCGGGGGAUAACUAUUGGAAACGAUAGCUAAUACCGCAUAACAAUGGAUGACACAUGUCAUUUAUUUGAAAGGGGCAAUUGCUCCACUACAAGAUGGACCUGCGUUGUAUUAGCUAGUAGGUGAGGUAAUGGCUCACCUAGGCGACGAUACAUAGCCGACCUGAGAGGGUGAUCGGCCACACUGGGACUGAGACACGGCCCAGACUCCUACGGGAAGCAGCAGUAGGGAAUCUUCGGCAAUGGGGGCAACCCUGACCGAGCAACGCCGCGUGAGUGAAGAAGGUUUUCGGAUCGUAAAGUUCUGUUGUAAGUCAAGAACGGGUGUGAGAGUGGAAAGUUCACACUGUGACGGUAGCUUACCAGAAAGGGACGGCUAACUACGUG